CAAUUCAGUUUCUAGGGUUUAGCUUGCGUAUAAAACCUCCUCUGAACAUCAGAAUCCUCUCUUCACCACUUCGGCGCAGCAGCACUCUCACUUCAUCAGCAAUGGUGUUCGUCAAAGCUCAAAAGUCGAGGGCAUACUUCAAGAGGUUUCAGGUCAAAUACAAGAGAAGGAGAGAUGGUAAGACUGAUUACAGGGCUAGGAUCCGUCUUAUCAACCAGGAUAAGAA